GUGCCAGCAGCCGCGGUAAAACGUAGGAGGCAAGCGUUAUCCGGAUUUACUGGGCGUAAAGGGCGUGCAGGUGGUUUCGUAAGUGGUGCGUGAAAGCGCCCGGCUCAACCGGGCGAGGCCGUGCCAAACUGCGAGACUGGAAACAGGCAGAGGAAAGUGGAAUUCGGGGUGUAGUGGUGAAAUGCGUAGAGAUCCCGAGGAACUCCAGUGGCGAAGGCGACUUUCUGGGCCUGCUUUGACACUCAGACGCGAAAGCAUGGGGAGCGAACGGGAUUAGAUACCCGCGUAGUCC
rnacentral:rRNA from 1 species